CUAAAAAGAAUUCUGAGGCAGUUCUCCAACGGUCAUCCCCCAUAUAUAUUUAAUUCGCGUGUAAGCCUUGGACAAAUUUAUGUCUAGACGGUUCUACAACAGUCAUCCCUCCCCCAUAUAACCAAAUAUCCCUAAAACACUCCUUGGAGAAAGAGGGAAACGAUACGCUGUCUGCUACGAGCUUCUCAACCGCCCAGUGAUUUUCUUUAUGCCGUUUCAUGUUUUCUCAACCGUGAAUCUCUCUCUCAGUUGCAAGCUUCCCUAACCUCACUGUCAACCGUGAAUCUCUCCUAGCUGCACGCUUCCCUCUCUUAGCCGCCACCACGACUCUCUCUCUUACAGUGAAGAGAAGGAAGCUCCGGUGGUGUUCUUCAGUCGGUAUCCAGCUCUCGGUGGAAUCAAUUCUUCUCUAAGUUGCUCCUUUAAAGGUUUGUUUUUUUGAACAAUUUAUGUUGAAGAAUUAAAUGCAGCCAUCACCUCCAUAUGAAAAAUCCCAUACAUUUCUUCAAUUUUUCUCAAACACUUCAAAUUCGGUUCCUCUCCAAGUACCUAAUCCACAACAGUGUUUUUAUGGUUGAUGAAUUGAAUUGUUUGAUAAAAAUAUGUUCUGUUAUUAAUUUCUUAUGUGUUCGUAUUUAAUUAGAACAAAAUAAUGAAGUUGAGAUACAAAGAAUGGCUUUACGGAAGAAGAAGAUAUUUUUAUAUGAACCCUUAUUUCUACCACCAAGAAUUUUAAUGUUAAGUUAGGUGAGGGAGAUUUUGAACCUAUCUACAAGGUAAACUUUUAAUGCUUCUCUUUUUUAGCUUGUGUUCAGCAUAGGAAUAUGGUGGAUUAGUUAGGUUAUUGUCUUCAUGCCACAUAGAAACUACUUAUUUAUGAUUUUUUUUUUAUUCAGUAACUUUUAUUUUUAUGCACUUUUAUUAUGUUUCACUAACAAACUUGUGUUAUGGCCACAUAGAAUAGAAUCCGCCCUUAUUAUUGAACAAGUUUCUUCUAAUUAGAUUAUUUUAAGCACGAAAUUGAUGAUAAUUAUUUCUAAGAUGAUGUGAUAUUAAUCAAAUUUAAUAAACUCAAACUCAAUUAAGAUAACUAUUGAAGUUUUUGUCAUUUUGUCCAUGAAAUGGAGGGUGUGUGAAUGAGUUUUCCCUUUAAGUCUUCCACCUAACUUUGGUUUGGUCCAUGAGAGAAAAUGUUUUUAUAGUGUUUUUGUUUUAAAUUCUUAUUAAAUUUUACACUGUGAUACUAAAAUUUAUUGUCAAUUCAAACCAACACCAGGUACUUUAUGUUCACCCAAUGACAAAAACAAUGGUUUCACCAACAACAAAAUAAAUGCAACAAUUGAGGAUAACAAGAAAUAUUGACUAACUAAAUGAUACAUAUUAUAUUAUAUGCUUUUGAGAAAAACAAAUGUAUGCCUCAGAAAUGCUACUGUUGGAGAAAAUUUAGCAAAUAUGACAAGAAAUGCUUUUGUAUGCAUGUGUUUUCUUUUUGGUACUCCAUCCUUUAGAAAUGAAUUGUCAUGUUAGUUUCAAAUAAUGUAGGAAUUUAGAUAGUCCAAUUAUGUAGGACACUAGAAGUCAUAGUUAGUUUCAAAAUCAUCAACUUUGUAUGGAUCAUUUUGAUAGAAAUUACUUUGGUAUAUUGCUUAGACGUAAAUGUACAAUUAUUUCUCUUUUUCAUGCAACAUUUGGAAUUCUCUUCUGCUGCGAUACCGUGAUUUCUAGAUGGGUUUAGGAUGCAUUUUUCGGCUCGAUUUUGGUGUGCUAUGGUUCUUAUUUGGUUAUUUAAUUGAUUGGUGUGUUAGUGACUUAUCUAUGUUGACUUUUUUUCAUAUGCAAAAUCAAUAUGGAAGCUUAGAAACAAAAUGACUAAUUAUAAUUUUGUUAACCAUUUAGAGUCCCAACCUAUUUUCAAUAUGAUGUAUGGCUGCUUCUGUUUUAUUUUUGGUCUACUAUUGGGCUUCUAUUUUAUUUUUGGCUGCUGCAGGGCUGCUUUUGCUUUAGUUUUGGUAGCUGCAUUUUUUAGUGUUAUUCUUAAAACCCCACCUUUUGUGGAAGAGAAAAUUGUAUUAUAUAUUGGGAAAGAAUGAAGGUUCUUCGAGGAAACAUACUUUGAAUUAAAAUAAUGCGAGCACAACCACAUGCAAUGUGGCCGCAAUCGUUGAAGAAAACAAGUGGAAUCACAUACAUAGGUUGCUAUUCAAUUUGCAGAUGCAUGUCUUCGGGCGUUGAAAGGAUAGGCCAAAAUCAUUCUGAAUUUUGAAUUUUUUUUUGGCUUUAUACCACUGGUUUAGUCCGGUUCGGGGGCGAGUUCUGGCAUCAAGUGGUUCCAUCCCCCUCCCGAUCGCAGUUGCGGGGGAUCGACCCGUGGUUCUCCCUACCAAGUCCAGCGCCAAUCACCACUGGACCAACUAAUGAUUGGUACUGAAUUUUGAAUUUUGAUGUAUGUUAAGUUAUGUUUCAAGUUAAUUAUGAAUUUUAAUGUAUGUUAAGUUAUGUUUGAUCAUUUGUUUAUUGAAUUUUGGAGCAUGUUUCAGUUAAAUAAGUUCAUAUAUAUAAUUUAUUAUCUAUUUUUGA